rnacentral:rRNA from 1 species
CGGUACGUACUGGCAUCGUCGGUUUCUCCCUUCUGACGAACCAUGAUGUCAUUUAUUUGGUGUUGUGGGGAAUCAGGACUGUUACUUUGAAAAAAUUAGAGUGUUUAAAGCAGGCUCACGCUUGAAUACAUUAGCAUGGAAUAAUGAAAUAGGACGUUUGAUUCUAUUUUGUUGGUUUCUAGGAUCGACGUAAUGAUUAAUAGGGAUAGUUGGGGGCAUUAGUAUUCAAUUGUCAGAGGUGAAAUUCUUGGAUUUAUUGAAGACUAACUACUGCGAAAGCAUUUGCCAAGGAUGUUUUCAUUAAUCAUGAACGAAAGUUAGGGGAUCGAAGACGAUCAGAUACCGUCGUAGUCUUAACCAUAAACUAUGCCGACUAGGGAUCGGAUGAUGUUAAUUUUUUAAUGACUCAUUCGGCGCCUUACG